rnacentral:rRNA from 1 species
AAAAGACAGUGGUAGGGGAGCGUUCUGUAUGGGGUGAAGUCGCAGCGAGAGCAGCGGUGGACUGUACAGAAGUGAGAAUGCCGGAAUGAGUAGCGAGAAUUAUGUGGGAAUCAUAAUGGCCGAAAAUCUAAGGUUUCUUGGGGAAGGUUCGUCCGCCCAAGGUAAGUCGGGAGCUAAGCUCAGGCCGCGAGGCGUAGGCGAUGCACAUACGGUAGAAAUUCCGUAACCACCGAACUUUAAGCAUGAGGGACACUUUGAGAUAGCGGAACCCGGGCGUUGGUUGACCCGGGCGAAAGGGACCGAAAUAUAGUAGGGAAGUCCGUGAUGCUCGGAGGCGAGAAAAGCUCAUGUGUAUACUAAGGUGCCCGUACUGCAAACCGACACAGGUAGAUGAGGAGAGAAUCCUAAGGCCAACGGGAGAAGGGUUGUUAAGGAACUCGGCAAGAUGACCCCGUAACUUCGGAAGAAGGGGAGCCUCGAAAGAGGCCGCAGUGAAUAGGCCCGAGCAACUGUUUACCAAAAACACAGGUUUAUGCUAAAUCGAAAGAUGACGUAUAUGAGCUGACGCCUGCCCGGUGCCGGAAGGUUAAGAGGAGAUGUCAACCGCAAGGUGAAGCAUUGAAUUGAAGCCCCGGUAAACGGCGGCCGUAACUAUAACGGUCCUAAGGUAGCGAAAUUCCUUGUCAGGUAAGUUCUGACCCGCACGAAAGGCGUAAUGAUUUGGGCACUGUCUCAACAGCCCGCCCGGCGAAAUUGUAGUACUGGUGAAGAUGCCAGUUACCCGCAACUAGACGGAAAGACCCCAUGGAGCUUUACUGCAGCUUAAUACUGGAAUUCGGUAAAUCAUGUACAGGAUAGGUGGGAGACAGGGAAGCAUUGGCGUCAGCCAGUGUGGAGUCGCUGGUGGGAUACCACUCUUGAUUUGCUGGGUUUCUAACCUGCGGCCGUGAAUCCGGUCGGGGGACACUGUUAGGCGGGCAGUUUGACUGGGGCGGUCGCCUCCAAAAGAGUAACGGAGGCGCUCAAAGGUUGGCUCAGCACGGACGGAAAUCGUGCAAUGAGUGUAAACGUAUAAGCCAGCCUAACUGCGAGACCGACGGGUCGAGCAGUAACGAAAGUUGGAGUUAGUGAUCCGGUGGUAUGUGAGUGGAAAUGCCAUCGCUCAACGGAUAAAAGCUACCCUUGGGAUAACAGGCUGAUCUCCCCCAAGCGUCCACAGCGACGGGGAGGUUUGGCGCCUCGAUGUCGGCUCGUCACAUCCUGGGGCUGUAUUCGGUCCCAAGGGUUCGGCUGUUCGCCGAUUAAAGUGGCACGCGAGCUGGGUUCAGAACGUCGUGAGACAGUUCGGUCCCUAUCUGUUGCGGGCGAAAGAGAUUUGAAGGGAGCUGUCCUUAGUACGAGAGGACCGGGAUGGACGUACCUCUGGUGCACCAGUUGUCCUGCCAAGGGCAUAGCUGGGUAGCUAUGUACGGACGAGAUAAACGCUGAAAGCAUCUAAGCGUGAAACUCCCCCUAAGAUGAGAUCUCUCAUCCUUCAUGGAGUAAGGGCCCAGGAAGACUACCUGGUUGAUAGGCAAGAGGUGGAAGCGCAGUAAUGUGUGUAGCUGACUUGUACUAAUAGCCCGAGGGCUUGACCU